GUUCCUACGGGAGGCAGCAGUGGGGAAUAUUGCACAAUGGGGGAAACCCUGAUGCAGCGACGCCGCGUGAGCGAUGAAGUAUUUCGGUAUGUAAAGCUCUAUCAGCAGGGAAGAAAAUGACGGUACCUGACUAAGAAGCCCCGGCUAACUACGUGCCAGCAGCCGCGGUAAUACGUAGGGGGCAAGCGUUAUCCGGAUUUACUGGGUGUAAAGGGAGCGUAGACGGUUCUGCAAGCCGGGAGUGAAAGCCCGGGGCCCAACCCCGGGACUGCUCUUGGAACUGCAUGGCUGGUGUACAGGAGGGG
rnacentral:rRNA from 1 species